AUACAAAGAAACUGGAGUCAGCCAGGAGCCAAGAGGGUAGCAAGAUUUGAGGAGCAGGUUGUUCUGUCUGUGUCAGCAAACUAAAAACUGAACAAAAUAUCAAAGUAACCAUUUCCCGUGAGCCUUCCCAUCUUGAAGAACCAAGGCAGGGGAAAGCAGCCAAGUUUAUUUCAAGGAAGAUGCUGCUCCUGAUCUUCCUCCUCUUCAUAUGCCAGGUAAGAUUUCAGGAUAGCAAUCUUUGAUGAGAUCCUGAAAACAUCACACUAGGAAGUGAUGCGAGAGUAUGCUGAUUUCUUCUUGACAUAACACUGAGAAGAAGCAUCAUCACGUCUGUUGGAGAAUGGAAACCAGUGAGAAAGCCAGAAUAAUUUUGCUAUGUGAAGAUGAACUCCUGAAAUGGGAACCGAUUUGGAGAAUUUAUCUGACAGAGGCAAUAGGACUUCAGCCUGAGGACCUAGACCAGCCCAAAUGGAGCAGUAUGGCAGGGAUGGGGCCGACAUCAUCUGCACCCGGAGUCUUCUGCACUUCACAAAGCUACGCAUCCUCUUCUGCAUUUCUCCAAGCACAGAAAACUGGCAAACUGUGUUUCUCUUCGUGUCCUGCAGAGUAAUUAAAGGACAGCCAGCAUUUUCCUCUGCGUGCUGCCAGCCACAUGGUUUCAUUCACUGAAGUAGCUGAUGGUGAGCUUAGGCAAAUACUUUGACUUUGCCCCAGCUUUUGUGGUUGCCGUACCUCUGAAGACGCCAGUCACCUCUAAUUACAUGUCUGUUGAAAUCAUGCAGAGAAAGACCAGCAUAUCAGUUCUAAUUUACGGAGCUUAACAAAUCUGUUCAUUCUACGGCCACUAAGCAAAACUACCAAUGGAGGACUUCAAAGCACGGGUGCGCCAGCAGAAGAGCUGAGGUGAGCGCCGAUACCCAAGACCGAUGAGCCCAGGCAGCCACAGCCUCCUUGGUGCUCAUGGCCACUGGCCCAGCCAAACAGCUCAGCAAUGCACCACCAAGAGCCCCUGCCACCCAGCGCAGGAGGUAUUUAUGCAUGCUCAAGAUACUGAUGAGCAGAGGCUGGAGGGAAUGCCCCAGAAGAAGUGAAUAUGGGAAUAAAAGGAAAUUCAGCCAUGAGCCAAUGUGCAUCCCACAGGCUAUUUUUCAUUCACUCCAGAAUACUCCUUCCUCGUCUGAUUAAGUGACAUCAGAAUUAACAUGUUUGCAGACAUAGAAACAGAAUAUAGGCCUACAUACAAAGGAAAUAUAAUGCCCUAAUUAAUUUUCUGCAUCACUGAAAAGGAGCUUUUGUCAAAUGGCAGAAAGGCAGAGACGUUGCUGAUGUCAAAGAGCGCUACCCCAGAACCAAGCCUCCAGCAUUAUUUGGAAACAAAAGGUAAGAGGUAGCAGAUGAGGUGAAAAUGCUGAUUAUAAGUGGUAUUUGGAUGAGAUAAGCAAAUUGGCUUCUCUAAUCACAAAUUUUAAAGUUUUCUUGCUGUGUUCUCACCCCAUUCUGAGUCUGUCAUAUAUUUUAUUUCUGCAACCAGACCUAAGUCUAUUUUUAUGCUUCAGGCAAUAACAAUCCAGAUAAAAACACUCUUCCUUGUCUUUAUUUGCUAAAACCCUAAAGGUUAUUUCCUGAUGAUAAGAGGGCAGUCUCUGCCUUCUCAAAAGCACAGAUUUUCUUUCAUAUAAACAGGCCUGAGUUGUUUGGUCCAGAGUGUUUUUUAAAGGCAAACUGGUUAUCAGCCCCAUAGAGAUGCCCCAUAGAGGUCAGGACCAUGCUCCCAACAGGCAGACUUGGAGAUAGAGUAAUAAGGUAAGCCUGCUACAGGCCGAUUUUUUUUUCUAUAAGCAGUUGUAUUAAUGCAUGGCUAGUACAGAUAAUACUGAUAUUUCUCAACAGCUUGUAUUUGCAGUUAGGCUUGCUCGUACUCUGACUACUUGAAAUUCCUCUAGUGGCUUUUAUCCCAGGAUGUCUAAACAGUUUAGCAACAUUCAUUAAAGCACCGUGACACCCCCUUUAUUGACUGAGCAAGCUUCUGCUGCCCAUUUCAGAGAAGCGUUCAUCCUGAAAGGCAUUUAGUCAGUGUGAGAGGGACAGAAAGGGCUCAAGCAGAUCCGUUUCCAGGCGAGCAGCAGGCAUUAUAAAGAGGUACUAAAAUUUUCAUUUUUUAUAAGGAAGAAACAGGAAGUGGUGAAUGUAUAUAUAAAGUACUGAAAUAAAAAGCUAUGGUAAUAGUCUUCUAAUACUCAAAAAGUUUGCAGAGGAGGUGCUUCGGAAAUAUUGUCCUGGUCAACAAAGAGGGAAGGAAAGGGGCUGGCUCCACAUGAAGUAAAGGUUUAAAUUAAAGAUUGGAGAAGAUUCCUAAGGAAGAAUACUUCAUCAGUGAACCUGGCUGCUAAGGGAAGCUGUAAAAUCUAAGUUAUAAAGGACCAAUUAGACAAACACCUGACUGGAAUGGGCACAGCAGGAUUCUGCCUCCACGCAGCGAAAAUGAACUUAAAGCCACUAUCACGCUGUGGUGCUAUUUUUUCAGUCCCCCAGAACCCCACUCAAACACCGAGAUUUCAUUUUUGCUAUGCACAUACAUCCCCAGACUGUAUGUAGCACAGCUCCUCCAAGCACAGCUGUGUUUCCAGCCUGUCUCACUUGUAUAGCACCAGUCUGUCUGGAAAAAUAAUAAUUGCAAAUCUAACUAACGAGAGAUCAAAGCCCCCUCAUGACCAAAUCAUGAGGAUUAAAAUUAAUUUCAUUAUUCUGAGUAGAGUAUCCUUCCCUCGGCAACAAAGUACGUUCUUGAUCAAUGAGCUGGUACCUUAUCUGAGCUCAGGUGGGGACAUGUCUCU